GGAGUGGUAGUUCAGUUGGUUAGAAUACCGGCCUGUCACGCCGGGGGUCGCGGGUUCGAGACCCGUCCACUCCGCCA
rnacentral:tRNA from 1 species